rnacentral:misc_RNA from 1 species
GAUGAAGAACGUAGCAAAAUGCGAUACUUGGUGUGAAUUGCAGAAUCCCGUGAACCAUCGAGUUUUUGAACGCAAGUUGCGCCCGAAGCCUUUUGGCCGAGGGCGCGUCUGCCUGGGCGUCACGCAUCGCGUCGCCCCCCACAAUUCUCCGUAAAGGGAACGUGUGUUUUGGGGGCGGAUAUUGGUCUCCCGUGCUCAUGGCGUGGUUGGCCGAAAUAGGAGUCCUUUCGAUGGACGCACGAACUAGUGGUGGUCGUAAAAACCCUCGUCUUUUGUUUCGUGCUGUUGCUCGCAAGGUAAACUCUUUAAAAACCCCAAUGUGUCGUCUCUUGACGACGCUUCGACCGCGACCCCAGGUCAGGCGGGACUACCCGCUGAGUUUAAGCAUAUCAAUAAGCGGAGGA